AUAAAUUAUGCUGAAUAAUUCAAAGUAUGAUUUACUAACUAUACCACCUCUACACUACAAGUGAAACAAAAUAACAUCCUCCCUUGUACAUUUGUAUAUACAUGCUAAAUGACAAUAAUUUGUUAAAGCGCAGUCUGAAUCUUUGAAUGUGUAUAUUUAAUUAAUGCUAGACUGUGAUUUCUGAAUUAAGUUCUCACACAUAAUAAAUUGAUAUAUGAAAUCAUUUAUAUUGGUUCUCAUAUAUGCAGUUGUAAAUUUAGUGGCUAAAAUACUAUAUAAAACAGGUUAUUUAAACACCACAAGGUGGCAUGAGAGGGUUCAGAGGAGUUCCCACCCACACCCCCAGAUAUACUGUGAUUCAUGCUGUUUAUCCAGGAGCAGCCAGAUCACUAACUGGACUGAAAAAUUCACACAGAGAGAAAGAAACAGAGCUGACAGACUCACUCUCACUGUUUUUCUUUUAUGGAUUCCAGAAACAGAGAGGUGUAAAUGACUGACCAAUACAAAUUUGCACCAUGCCAAUAUUAUGAAUUCCCAGGAUGCCUAUACGCUUGGCCUUGGGAUGAUGCACUGCAUGAAUGGAACAUAAGGAUGCAACACUGAUUUAGAGCAAGCACUCAAAUAGAGGCAGUUCUAACAUGGAUUCUACUGGACUAGAGACUUCUGGAUUGUUACAUCACCAAGCAACAGAAGGACUUUCAAUGUCUUAUCGAGAAGAUAUAACAAGUGUGAAGUGCAUUUGUGAGGAUGUGUACACCUGGAAAAUUUAAUCAUAUGUUGAAUGAAUGAAUAAAUUAAAUAAUGAAA